ensembl:lncRNA
CAACAACAAAAUAACCCUGGGCAGCAGGUAGUAUUAGCACAGCAGAGCACAAGAAAUGAAAGCUCAGAGAAGAGAGAAUGAGAGACUAUGUCAAGAACAUAAUGAGAUGAUUCAAUGAAAAAGAUGAACUGCUUGACUACCACCCAGAUGAUGCUACUGUCAGUCUGCCUCCGAGAAUAAGAAAGCUUGGUGCUCAAGGGGAGCUAAGCACAGCCGAGUCAUGCCAGAUAAAGACCAGUAGACCAGAACACCCGUGAGCUAGAUGUGUUUGUUAUUGUAAGCCACUGAGGUGUGGAGGUUGUUUGUUGACACAGCAAAAGCUGACAAGUACAUCAACACUAACUGAACACUUGUUCAGUGCUGACACUAUUCUGAGAAUACAUGUGUGUUCUCUCAUUUGAUCUUCACAUUAAUCAUGAAGGCAGUGUUUCAUCCAGUGUUCCCUAUUGUAAACAUCAGAAAAUUACUCUGGCUGUGUACAAAAGGAGUACAAGAGGAAGACUUCUGCUUCCAGCCAAGAGGGAACAACAGAGGCUGGAUGUGUUCAUACCCGAAAGAACUAAAAAGGAUAUGAAAUAUAUAAAACUGUGGUUUUUAAGAUAGUAGAUGAUGGGCAGUGAAGGCCAGUAAUCUCUGAGAUAUGGGAGCUUCCAGGUCAUGGUGCAAAAAAAGGGGAAGCCUGGCAGAGCUUAGUGAUUUCCUUGGUUUGGGAAUAUGGAGCUGAGAGCAAGAAGGCCAAGGCAACUAAAAUUUUCAGGGAAGCAUACUGGAAAGGAGAGAGCUACACAGAGAGAGAACCAAGGAGAUUUUCAAAAGGUGCCCCCCAAAGACGCAGCUGAGCACAGGUCAGAGCAGACAUAAGAGGAAACUCUCUAAGGCGUGGGAAGUAAUACCAACAAAACUAAAGGGAACAAUCCCUGGAGCUCACCUAAGACUAGAAAUAACACCUCUCCCCACUAGCCAGAGUGGACAUCAGGCAGAAUGCAAAAAGGGUCUUGCUCCACAGUGGGAAAAAAAUCACCAGGCAUGCCAAGAAGCAGGUACCUACAAUCCCAUAACCCAAAAGGAGGAGAAAAAUCAAUCCACUGAAACUAACCCAGAAAUGACCCAGAUAACAGAAGUAGUAGAUAAGGACAUUUUGAAAAGUAUGACUGUAUUCCAUAUGUUCAAGAUUCUAGAGGAAGGAUUGAAUAUGUUAAAUAAAGACAUGGGAG